GUAGCCUGCGAAAAGCUUCGGGGAGCUGGCAAACGAGCUUUGAUCCGGAGAUGUCCGAAUGGGGAAACCCGGCCCGUAUGGGUCAUCCCUGACUGAAUCCAUAGGUCAGGGAAGCGAACGCGGCGAACUGAAACAUCUAAGUAGCUGCAGGAACAGAAAUCAACCGAGAUUCCCAAAGUAGUGGCGAACGAAAUGGGAAGAGCCUUGCACUCUUUAGCAGGACUGUUAGCAAAACGGGAUGGAAAGCCCGGCCAUAGCAGGUGAUAGCCCUGUAUGCGAAAACAGACUUGUGGAACUAGGUGUGCGACAAGUAGGGCGGGACACGUGAAAUCCUGUCUGAAGAUGGGGGGACCAUCCUCCAAGGCUAAAUACUCGUGAUCGACCGAUAGU
rnacentral:rRNA from 4 species